rnacentral:rRNA from 1 species
GACGAACGCUGGCGGCGUGCCUAAUACAUGCAAGUCGAACGCAGUGGGGACGGGUGAGUCACACGUGGGUAACCUCCCAUCAGAGGGGAUAACACUUGGAAACAGGUUCUAAACCGCUACUGCUGGAUGGACCCGCGGUGCAUUAGCUAGUUGGGGAGGUAACGGCUCACCCAGGCCACGAUGCAUAGCCGACCUGAGAGGGUGAUCGGCCACACUGGGAAUGAGACACGGCCCAGACUCGUACGGGAGGCAGCAGUAGGGAAGCUUCGGCAAUGGACGAAAGGCUGACCGAGCAACGGCGCGGGAGUGAAGAAGGUUGUCGGAUCGUAAAACUCUGUUGUUAGAGAAGCGGUAUCUAACCAGAAAGCCACGGCUAACUACGUGCCAGCAGCCGCGGUAAUAC